rfam:Nomascus leucogenys chromosome 10, whole genome shotgun sequence.
GCUAGGCACAGUGGCACGCUGCUCUAGUCCCAGCUACCCGGGAGGCUGAGGCAAGAGGAUUGCUUGAGCCCAGGGCUUCUGGACUGGAGUGCACUAUGCCAAUUUGGUGUCCACACUAAGUUUGGCUUCAAUAUGAUGACCUCCCGGGAAUGAGAACAGACCCAGGAAACAUAGGUCAAGACUCUCAUGCUGAUCAGUAGUGGGAUAGCACCUGUGACUAGCCACUACGCUUAAGCCUGGGCAACAUAGAGAGACCCUGUCUAAA